AACGAACGCUGGCGGCAUGCCUAACACAUGCAAGUCGAACGAGACCUUCGGGUCUAGUGGCGCACGGGUGCGUAACGCGUGGGAACCUGCCCUUAGGUUCGGAAUAACUCAGAGAAAUUUGAGCUAAUACCGGAUAAUGUCUUCGGACCAAAGAUUUAUCGCCUUUGGAUGGGCCCGCGUAGGAUUAGCUUGUUGGUGGGGUAAUGGCCUACCAAGGCGACGAUCCUUAGCUGGUCUGAGAGGAUGAUCAGCCACACUGGGACUGAGACACGGCCCAGACUCCUACGGGAGGCAGCAGUGGGGAAUAUUGGACAAUGGGCGAAAGCCUGAUCCAGCAAUGCCGCGUGAGUGAUGAAGGCCUUAGGGUUGUAAAGCUCUUUUACCAGGGAUGAUAAUGACAGUACCUGGAGAAUAAGCUCCGCCUAACUCCGUG
rnacentral:rRNA from 1 species